GGCUGGUCUGAUGGUAGUGGGUUAUCAGAACUUAUUAACAUUAGUGUUACUAAAGUUGGUAUUCAACCCCCCACUGCUAAAUUUGACUGGUUUUAA
rnacentral:Y_RNA from 1 species